AAACGGGCAAGCUAAUUCAGUACGCGCGCAGGAGCGAGCUGCAGCCCUUGCAUCUACAGGAUCAGCAACAUUGGAUGUGGUGGAUCUGCUCACGGUCUCACAUGUUUAACAGGAAGGGUUGUGAUUGUAAAAGACGAUGUGGUAGAAAUUAUGGAUAUCAAUAAUCAAAAUAAUUAUCCAGAGGAAUCUGGGCACCAUAGCGAUUCAUCGUUAUAUUAUAUGACGAGACCAGGGGGCAAUAAUAUUGAUAAGGUUAGAAACCUACCUGAUGGCCACAACCCUCUGGAGAUGUGGUUCGCUCGUGAGCCCAACAAGUCCAUCCCGUGCUCACUGCACCUAACAAACAACAUAGAUCAGAAUGUGGCAUUCAGGCUUAUAGAAAAGAGUGGGACAUCAAUGGGCCACUUCAAGUAUGAGCAACUAUACGGUAUUGUGCCUCCCAGAUCCUCUUACACUUUGGUCAUGAAAAAGGAACAAGCAUCACUUGGUCUGGUUAUUCAGAGCAGUACAUCAGGGGAUAGGUACAAAAUGCUAUUCAAAGACCAAUCCAAGUGUGAUGAUUUCUUUUCUGAAGCGAAAGAGAUGGGAGAUUUGGUGCAUCAGGUGGCACUAAAAACUGUAUACAGUCCACUUCAAAUAGGGCUGACGACGUCUGAGAUCAUAUCCACAGAGGACAUCUCUAUUAGCACAUCCAUAGAUGGACAUCCAACGGAACCAUGGAUUAUAACCGGUCAUCGAGAUGGACGCGUUUUUUGGUGGAAGUACGACUCAAAG